CCUACGGGAGGCAGCAGUGAGGAAUAUUGGUCAAUGGACGCAAGUCUGAACCAGCCAUGCCGCGUGCAGGAAGACGGCUCUAUGAGUUGUAAACUGCUUUUGUACGAGGGUAAACGCAGAUACGCGUAUCUGUCUGAAAGUAUCGUACGAAUAAGGAUCGGCUAACUCCGUGCCAGCAGCCGCGGUAAUACGGAGGAUUCAAGCGUUAUCCGGAUUUAUUGGGUUUAAAGGGUGCGUAGGCGGUCGGAUAAGUUAGAGGUGAAAUCCCGAGGCUCAACUUCGGAAUUGCCUCUGAUACGGUUCGGCUAGAGAUGAGUUGCGGUAGGCGGAAUGUAUGGUGUAGCGGUGAAAUGCUUAGAGAUCAUACAGAACACCGAUUGCGAAGGCAGCUUACCAAGCUACUUCUGACGUUGAGGCACGAAAGCGUGGGUAGCAAACAGGAUUAGAUACCCGGGUAGUC
rnacentral:rRNA from 1 species